rnacentral:rRNA from 1 species
AAUCACUUGUCUUUUAAAUGGAGACCUGUAUGAAAGGAAUGACGAGGGCUUAACUGUCUCCUUUUUCCAGUCAAUGAAAUUGAUCUUCCCGUGCAGAAGCGGGAAUAGCAACACAAGACGAGAAGACCCUGUGGAGCUUGAGACGCUCGGGCGGCUCAUGUUAGAUACCCCUUCUCCAGGAAAAAACUCAAUGAAUUCCACCCGUAUGUCUUCGGUUGGGGCGACCUUGGGGAACACCAAACCCCCACGUGGAUUAGGAGCACUAAACAAUACUACCCUAAAACCCAAUACUCCCUCCUAGAAACUAGAGCCCCCACUCUGGUUAACGAGACUCUCGACUUACAAUGAUCCGGGCACACCGAUCAACGAACCUAGUUACCCCAGGGAUAACAGCGCUAUCCCCUUCCAGAGCCCAUAUCGCCAAGGGGGUUUACGACCUCGAUGUUGGAUCAGGACAUCCUAAUGGUGCAGCCGCUAUUAAGGGUUCGUUUGUUCAACGAUUAA